rnacentral:lncRNA from 1 species
GAAAUGCAUGACAUUUUCUGAACUGUCCCAAAUAUAACUUAAAGUGGGGAUGAAGACUCUUUUCUGGUCAAAUGACCAUGACUUCUGGAAUGAAGUUCCUCCAAGCCCAGGUAGCACGCUAGGAAUGCCAAAGAUGACGCCUACCUGCACAUCAUAUAUCAAUGAGCAGUUGUCAAGGCUCCACCAAUUCCACUUUACUUCCUGGAAAAAAUCUUGGACAGGCAAGGAAACAGUUUGUGAACAGGGAAGACAAUUAGAUGCUGCCUGCCAGCCAACACAGAUGUAUCAAGAGCAGGCUAUCUCAGUCCAAGUUCUGUUGCUGAUAGACUAACAGGCCCCGUAUACAAAAAAUCUCACAUCACUGCUUUAGCACCAUGUUUUGCAUUGUUGCACAUGAAUUCUUGUAAACAAAGUGGAGAAAAUGAUCCGAAUGACAUAACUAUGAGAUAGCAGAUUUCAAGAAGUAUUUGAAAGAGUGUUCUUGGAAUGCAGUUAGCACUGGUUCACGGUCCUGCCAGGAAGAUGUGUGGAACAGCACUGUGCAAGGGGCUGCCCUGUGUCUGAGGCGAUUCAGUGUUUCCAGUAAUGACCAGGAUGAUCAUUGUUAGCAAACAGACCAGCCUUACUAAAAGAAAUUAUUUUAGACUGCAAGUAUGUAGGAAUGCAAGAUUAGAAUUCAAUAUGAGUUUGUCAAACUGGAGAAAGAAUGCUGAGGAAAAAACUAAACAGAUGCAAUUGGAUAGGAACAAGAAUGUGGAUAAUCAGUUCUCCACGUACAGAAAAACUUGGAGGUCUGGCUUGGCAGCACUGCUGCAGAAGGGAACCUAGGGAAAUCAUGAAGGUCAUAAGCUGAACUCGAGUCAACGAUUUUGUAAUGUUAAAGCAUACAAACCCCAUACUCAGUCUGUAAACAAUAAGGUAGCCUUUAAGAUAAUACCAUAAUCAUGUUUUGUUCUGCACUGGAAAUAAUAUCCGUGUCUAGGUUUGGGUGCUGCACUGUAAGAAAGCCAUGGACCAACUGGAGACUGGCCAGAAGGAGUCAAGCAGAUUCAGAGGUUUAGAAAUCAUGGCUUGGGGAGACAAACCACAAGAACAGCAUUGGUUUUUUUUUAGCUUUAAGAAAAUAAAGGCAAGGAGAGGUGAUGUUAUGAGAACUGU